UUCCGACUGAGGAGCCCCAAAUAGGACGAAACGCGUGUCCUACAU
rnacentral:hammerhead_ribozyme from 1 species